AUGCUUCCACCCAACAAUAAUAAUGCACCACUUUUGUUAUUUGCCUGCUUCAUACCUCUAGAAAAAUGGAAGAAUAAUCAUGCCCCCCAUCCCGUACCUCUAUCCCCAAAUCACCGCUUUUCUCGUUCCUCUCUCCUCACCUCGCCGACAAGCUCUCCAUCUGCCAUGCCGCCCUAUUCUCUUCUCGAGCGUCGCCUGACCCUGGUCACCGUCAAGCUCACCCUCCCUGCCCUGCUUCCAGCGCACUGCACCUCUGGCCGACCAAUGAUAUUCUCCGUUUUCAUGAUCCAGGACGACCAGAUAUGUAUGUACGUGUGCAAUCUACUUCUUUUACUUACAAUUCACAGUCUGUUCUGGUCGUCCGGAGUAAAUUAUUCCAUUGAUUUCCGUUGA
rnacentral:rRNA from 1 species